GACGAACGCGGCGGCGUGCCUAAUACAUGCAAGUCGAGCGAAGUUUUUCUGGUGCUUGCACUAGAAAAACUUAGCGGCGAACGAGUGAGCAACACGUAAAGAACCUGCCUCAUAGACUGGGACAACUAUUGGAAACGAUAGCUAAUACCGGAUAACAGCAUUAACUGCAUGGUUGAUGUUUGAAAGUUGGUUAUGCUAACACUAUGAGAUGGCUUUGCGGUGCAUUAGCUAGUUGGUGGGGUAAAGGCCCACCAAGGCGACGAUGCAUAGCCGACCUGAGAGGGUGAUCGGCCACACUGGGACUGAGACACGGCCCAGACUCCUACGGGAGGCAGCAGUAGGGAAUCUUCCGCAAUGGGCGAAAGCCUGACGGAGCAACGCCGCGUGAGUGAAGAAGGAUUUCGGUUCGUAAAGCUCUGUUGUUAGGGAAGAAAGGAUAUGUAGUAACUAUAC
rnacentral:rRNA from 1 species